rnacentral:rRNA from 1 species
CAGCGCCCCAAGUGGCAGCCGCGUUUAUUGGGCCUAAAGCGUUCGUAGCCGGUUAAGUUAAUCUCUUGUGAAAUUGUCAAGCCCAACUUGACACCGUGCAGGAGACACUGCUUAACUAGGAACCGGGAGGAGUCAGAAGUAUUCCAGGGGGAGCGGUAAAAUGUUAUAAUCCUUGGAAGACUACCUGUGGCGAAGGCGUCUGACCAGAACGGAUUCGACGGUGAGGAACGAAAGCUAGGGGAGCAAAACGGAUUAGAUGCCCGAGUAGUCC